GGCACCUAUAGGGCUGUCAGCCCCCCCAGAGGUCUCCUAUGGGGUUGUCACCCCCUAAGUGUCACCUAUAGGGCUGUCUCCCCCCCCCCAAAUGUCACUUAUGGGGUUUGUCACCCCCCAAGUGGCAUCUAUGGGGAUGUCACCCCCCCAAGUGUCCCCUAUGGGGCUGUCACCCCCCUGAUGUCACCUCAGCCCCCUCAGACGUCACCUAUAGGGCUGUUACCCCCCCAGGUGUCCCCUAUGGGGCACUGUCACCCCCCAGGUGUCCCCUAUGGGGUUUGUCCCUCCCUCCCCCCCCCCCCCCGCCUGUCGCGACACGCCCCGCCCCUCCUGUCGCGACUCGGCCACCUGUCACCAGCGCCACCACCCCGCCGAGCCGCCCCGCUGAGCCCAUGGCGGCGGCCGGAAGUGAGCUGCGAGGCGCCGGAAGCGAGCAGCGAGCGGCAGCCGGAAGCGUGCGGAGAGCGGCGGCCGGAAGUGAGCUGGGAGCGGCGCUCUAUCCCCACCGCGCCUCUGUGGUCGGUCCCCCUCGGUCCGUCCCCACGUCACCCUGGUGACCCCAUGGGCCUCUUUGGGGUCCUCCACGUCCCCAAUGUCCCCAUUGGGGUCCUCUAUGUCCCAUUGGGGUCCUCCAUGUCCCACUGUGGUCUUUCACGUUCCACUGAGGUCCUCCAUGUCCACAUUGGGUCCCCAUGGUGUCUCCAUGUCCCAUUGGGGUCCCCAUGUCUCAUUGGGGUCCUCCACGUCCCAUUGGGGUCCCCAUGUCCCAUUGGGGUCCCCAUGUCCCAUUGGGGUCCCCAUGUCCCAUUGGGGUCCUCCACGUCCCAUUGGGGUCCCCAUGUCCCAUUGUGGUCUCUCACAUUCCAUUGAUGUCUCCAUGUCCCAUUGGGUCCCCAAUGGUGUCCCCACGUCACCAAUCACUCUUUAAUGAACACCUCCUACAAAACUCUCCCCAAAG
ensembl:lncRNA